GCAGGAAGCCCAGGUUAUAGAGUGAAGGGCUAAUGAAAGGUCUGAGUCGAGAUGGAAGAUGGAAGAGAGAGAGCUGUGCUCCGAGGAUGCUCUGAUUUUGAGCCACUUAGAUCAAGACACAGAGGCAAAGUCUUUUGCUUACUUGGUCCAAGCACAGAAGCAGGAAUAUUUAAAAGGACAUGAGGAGGGCAGACCCUGACAGGCAAACCUCACCUUUUUCUCUGGAACAAUAAAAACGGCAAUAGAAAGAGGACUUUGGAAGUAAGAUCUCAGAAGCCAAGUCCGCUAUAAUGCCCGAAAGCAGCAGACCUGACUUGCAGCAGCACUACCUUAAGAAGAGACAGCUGGGAGGCGGUCUUUUAAGAACAGCAGUUCACAGCGGUACCGUUGUUCAUUCUGGCUGCCGCAAACAGGGGAGUUGCUUCUUUCUACCCAUUACUUUGCAGGAUCAUUGUCUGCACAGGAGCCUUUGUCACUUUGUUUAGUGAAAUGUAGGAUCACAAUGAUCAAACGGCACCUCAGCCUUGGCCGGGUAUGGGAAUAAGUAAGAGAAGAGCUUUCUUGUAUCUUCAUCCCACCUGGGUCUUUUUCCCAUGUUUAACACUCAACAUCCGCCCUUCUUUCAGAAUUUAUUUAAACAAAUUGCUGGGGAGCAGAAAAAGAGUACAGCAGAGGCAGUAAACUGCAUGCACAGGCUGUGGUAAUUAUUGCCCUUCCACAAAGAAGGAUGGGAUUACUAAAGUCACAAUUUCUCCAGGAGCUGCCUCCUGGGAUGGCAUACUUCUGCACACCACCUCUCAUCAGGCUGAUGUAGAGAUUUCAGAGUAAACUCUUAGGCUUUACUAAUCAGAUAAGCUUGUCCAGGCACAUGGGAGGUUGUAAACACAACCUCCAUCUGCAAGAAAAAAACCUGUCUUUUCAUGAAGGCUGAUAAGCUGCAGAUCGCUAGCCUAUUUGCUUGGGAUUCAUCUCCCAUCAAAACCCAUGUUGAUUCUCAGUUGAUUGCAAGUUCAUGUACUUUGUUGCAGAACCAAAUCCUGCAGGUAGAUAGCUGCACUCCUAUACACAUUCUUUUAGAGGGGGUAUGGGAAAGAUUAAGUAAGAUAACAGAUUAAAUUGGUUUACUUUAUUUGCUCAUCUCCUUUCUGUAAACAGGAGUGAACCUUCGCUGGGUUAGUUUUCUUGUUUCACUCCACUAGAGGUAACAAAAUGUAAUUUUCUUUAACAAGGGCAAAUCAGAAGGAACUUAUCCUCGGCUCCUGAGGCUGAGAGAGGAACAAUGCUGCCUCAUUCAAGUGGCUACCAGUCAUUAUGAAAUGCAUGAAUAAGCAGUGACAAUUAAUUCAGUGAGACCGGAUGAAAAUAUUUUUCGGGUGAUAGUGUAAUGUAAAUCAUUGUUUUACACAUUCCCUUUCAAUGAUUUAAUUCAUGCUUUCCUGACUCCUGCUGUGUUAUGAUUCAGAGAUUAGUGCUCAUGUGUGUAAUUUAACAAAGCUGAAUGAUAAGCAGCAAGGAGACUUAAACAAAUCCUUGUUUCUGAUGUAUUUAUGAUAAAUUAGUAAAACAUCCUCAGCGCCACGCAGAAUGAUUAGGCUACUGCAGCUUCUACACAAGCACCUGUCAGGAAAAGUAGAAAAAUACACAGGACAUUGUAUAACUAAGCAGUGAAACAAAUGUAGAAAUCCAAAGCGAUGGCAAAUUACAAUCAAUUUACAAUGUACAAAUUACAUUACAAUCCAAAUCCUAUACUGUACCUGUAUUCCAAUAGAUAAACAUCUGUUUUUCUUGAA